rnacentral:lncRNA from 1 species
UCAUUAUUACCCUUCGUUCACCAAUUUUGAGCCAUAUUUCCUUUUGUUUGUUAUUUUACCAUUGUGUAUAGCCAUUAGCCCAUACAAUACCACACCUUGCAUAGAUAAGUGUUGUUUACCCUGAAGCUGCUGAAAAGCCUAAGUUUGGGGUUUCAUCCAAAUUUGGGGACACCGGCAAACCUUAGAUAAGUGCAAAAAG